rnacentral:tRNA from 1 species
GGAACGGUGGCAGAGUGGACAAACGCAUCCGCCUUGAAAGCGGACGGCUUAAUAGGCCCGGGGGUUCGAAUCCCUCCCGUUCCGCCA